rnacentral:rRNA from 1 species
UACGGGGGGGGUAAGCGUUGUUCGGAUUUACUGGGCGUAAAGGGCGCGUAGGCGGUCAGCACAAGUCAGUUGUGAAAUCUCCGGGCUUAACUCGGAAAGGUCAACUGAUACUGUGCGACUAGAGUGCGGAAGGGGCAACUGGAAUUCUCGGUGUAGCGGUGAAAUGCGUAGAUAUCGAGAGGAACACCUGCGGCGAAGGCGGGUUGCUGGGCUGAUACUGACGCUGAGGCGCGAAAGCCAGGGGAGCGAACGGG